AUAUAACUAAGAAAAAUUAAAAGUAAAUAUAUUAUAAAAACUAAAAAGAGAAGAUUAGUUUGUGUGAAGUGCUAGUACAUAUCCAAUCUUCAUUCUUUCUAUCAAUUACUCACUUUUCUAAAUGAGAUAGAUAGGGGUAGUUAUUGAGGUGGUUUUAUGUGAGUGUGAGAAGAGAUAUGUGUGGAUGGGAUAUGUAGCAAAUCAAAAAAAAGUGUUGUGUUUAUUGAGUGAAAAGAUAAAUGUGUGUAGAUGGAAAAGUCGUUGAAGAGGUGAUCAAGGGGGGAGGAGUUUUGGUAUUUUUUGUAGAAAAAUUAUUCACCCCAAAAAAAUAGUGAAGAAGCCUCUCCCUCUGUUUGUGCAAUCCUCUCCUUUUUAUUCCAAUUCUAUUUUUUAGUGAGAUACUCCAAUUUGAAAAAUCCUCCCCGCCAAUGGCAUGCUGCCAUGUAUGGAAAGAGAGAGUAUCACUAAAAAAUAGAUUUUUCCUUCUGGUGCUAGCCACGUGAGAGUAAGAGAGAGCCGUUGGGGGCAG
rnacentral:lncRNA from 1 species